AGAGUUUGAUCCUGGCUCAGAACGAACGCUGGCGGCAGGCCUAACACAUGCAAGUCGGGCGCACCUUCGGGUGAGCGGCGGACGGGUUAGUAACGCGUGGGAACAUACCCUUUUCUACGGAAUAGCCUCGGGAAACUGAGAGUAAUACCGUAUAAGCCCUUCGGGGGAAAGAUUUAUCGGGAAAGGAUUGGCCCGCGUUAGAUUAGAUAGUUGGUGGGGUAAUGGCCUACCAAGUCUACGAUCUAUAGCUGGUUUUAGAGGAUGAUCAGCAACACUGGGACUGAGACACGGCCCAUACUCCUACGGGAGGCAGCAGUUGGGGAAUCUUAGGCAAUGGGCGCAAGCCUGAUCUAGCCAUGCCGCGUGUGUGAUGAAGGUCUUAGGAUCGUAAAGCACUUUCGCCAGGGAUGAUAAUGACAGUACCUGGUAAAGAAACCCCGGCUAACUCCGUGCCAGCAGCCGCGGUAAUACGGAGGGGGUUAGCGUUGUUCGGAAUUACU
rnacentral:rRNA from 1 species